rnacentral:rRNA from 1 species
UGGGGAAUUUUGGACAAUGGGCGAAAGCCUGAUCCAGCCAUGCCGCGUGAGUGAAGAAGGCCUUCGGGUUGUAAAGCUCUUUUAGUCUGAAAGAAAGAGUUGCAAUGAAUAAUUGUGAUUUAUGACGGUACCGACAGAAAAAGCACCGGCUAACUACGUGCCAGCAGCCGCGGUAAUACGUAGGGUGCGAGCGUUAAUCGGAAUUACUGGGCGUAAAGGGUGCGCAGGCGGUUUUGCAAGUCAGAUGUGAAAGCCCCGGGCUUAACCUGGGAAUUGCGUUUGAAACUACAAGGCUAGAGUGCAGUAGAGGGGAGUGGAAUUCCAUGUGUAGCAGUGAAAUGCGUAGAGAUGUGGAAGAACACCGAUGGCGAAGGCAGCUCCCUGGGUUGACACUGACGCUCAUGCACGAAAGCGUGGGGAGCAAACA